UCUUGUGACACUUCUGCGACUUCUUUUCUUCCGUGGGCGACAUUGUGUUGUGUACAUUGUUCGCUGGUUUGUCGAUUACCCACUCAUUCUUUUUUUUUUGUACCACGACAGCCCUCCUGUCGUGCUAACUGCAUCGUGCGAGCCCUUUGUCGACGAAGAGGAGCUAGCUUUCGCGGGCCCGUGAAGCAGGGAGAAUAGUGUUUUCGUGUUCGCCGCAGAACACAGGAAGGCUUUCUUUGCUUUGAAAAUAGGCUUUGGGUGUGCGCUAGUGUUGGUUGUAGGUUCAUAUCAAACAAGCUCUUCAAAAACCCGACCCUUUACACGGGCUUUUUCUCGAUUGGAGGCGCACAGCACGAUUUGGCCUCAAGGAAACGAAAAACACAGAAAACUGCACCGAUGCAUGCAGCCAUCAAAGCGCAGCGAAACAGGCGGGCGUGAAAAGCGAAAUUAUACGCGCUCCUCCCACGAUCGUCGCUGUUUGAUCGAUCGACGUUGCGCACGCGGAGUAGUGGUGUUAGUUUUCGUGUCUGUGUGUGUCACUAAGACGACACAGCAUAAUUCGUAUUGUUUUUUCGACCCAGCGUCCCCGUCUGCAACAGCUGCCCGACACUUAAGCUCGCAUCGGUAAUGCACUCGCAACGGGAUGCUUAAAUUCGAAGGUGAAAAUGAUUCAACGAGCCAACACAAUCGUUCGUGCGCAACCAUAACAAAACGGCGAACCGGUUAACAGCGUGAAAUCGAACGCAUCGGAAUCGACGACUUCUUCGUUCGCUUCUUCGUAGGAAGCAGCAGCAACACCGUGGAGUACGAUUUCUAAUUUCCAUAACACCCGUUUAUCCCCCCCGGCUGAGAUUUGCAUCCCCCUACGUGCGACGAUCCGUUGGCGUCGUGGUGGUACACACUACUCUUCUACAACACCUUCAAACAAAUGGGCAAGAGGAAGCAGAUGAGGAGGCCGGGUUCAAUGGCGGUACGAAGCGUGGGAGUUUCCCAUGGCGUGGUUUCGAUUCUCAGACCAUCCCCGGGGCCGAACACUAUGGCUUGGGAGCGUCCGUCCGCAAAACCGAACCUGUACGUGUUGUUCCGGCCACUAACACACACACACUUCCAUAUAAUCAAACGUGCAUAAACAUUAGGUUGAUAGUAAGGAAAGCGUGGAAGGAAACAAGCAUCAUGCCUGCAGAACUAGCAGCACAUGAGUGAUAGUGGGUACGAUUGGUUUAUAUAUUAUGAUAAUCAGCUAACCGUACAAGGCUUCGAUAAUAACCGUUUCAUUUUCAUUUGAUCGUUUGUAUGUUUUUGUUGAUGUAGUUUUCGGCAAAGGUUCUGCUUUGCGAGUAGCUUGAGCGAGAGAAAAGUGGCAAGCGCAUCACAGUAGCGGUGUUUUAGGGGUAGAAAUCGUGAUCUUUAGAUCGGCACAACCAACGAUCGGAAAACGCUAGGAGGGUUCGUUUGGCGAAGAAGAUAAAUUAAAAAUCGUUCGCUUGUUGGCGGCAAACGAGUGUUAUUGGGUUUGUUUUCUUUAAUUUGUGAGCAUUAUAAAUUCACUCGGUGGCCUUAUUGGUGCUUUGGCGAGUGUGAUACGCGCCUACGACACUACAGAUUUGCCUUCAUGGAGGUGAAGUUUAGAUAGUCCUCAGCUGGGAAUAAACAAGAGGACAAGAGAAUUUAUCUUCCUGUAAACUACAUCUAUUCUUGUGCAGUUUUUGGCUCCGCUCAGCAAUCGAUUUUAUUUUUCGUGUUUUGUUUUAAAGAAGCUUUGAUUCUCAUACUCUUCAUUUGCCUCUUACCUCAGAUACCGAAUGGUUGAAGAUGUGUAUAACGCUGCUUGCUUCAAAUUAAAUUAACGCUUGUUAAAUGUUUUCGACUUUUUCCCAACAACAGGACUAACAAAACUGCCCUUUGUGUUGCAAACGGAGAAUAGAGCUGGAAACAAAACACCCAAAAAAAAAGGACACAAAUCGGGUCGCUAAUAAGCUGCGCAAACCGAAAUUUCAUGUCGAACCGAAACAUUCCGCACGGCAAGAAAAGCGCAAGCGAUCGAUCGUAAAAGGUAAAUUCCAAAGGACACCGCACACACAAAAAGGGCCUCAUUAGCGAACCAGAAAAGGGACCAUCACUUGAGUGCAGUGGAAGUAAGCCAACCCAAGCUCGAUGCGUAAAGCCGAAAUGUCACACCGUCCGGACACACAGACAUCCGCUGCCUACCGGGCGCUCUUCUGCUGGGCUCAAGUAAAUGGUCAAAUUUCCUUUCGCUGCGGUGUAUCUCACCACGGUGUUCUUCCUGUACCCUGAGCCUGAGCACCGGCCCUGUAAUCGGAGCACUUUUGCUGUAGAUUCCGGAUUCCUUCCCUUUUUUGGGGCAAUUGAUUUUGUUUUUUUUUUUGUCUUUGUGUACGUGUGUGUGUGUGUGUGGACAGGUUAAGCUGGCAGGUUCGUGAAACCCUCCUGCGCUUCACAACGGUGCUUCGAUCCUUGAGACCUUUCGGUGAGCAAAAAAGGCACAAGAAACACACGCACACGAAAAAUCAAACCGUUCGAACCGUGGUUUCGUACGCAGGAAACCCACCGAAAACAAGCGCGACGCGCCGAUCGGAACUGUCGUCGAAAUCGUUCAAACAAAAAUGAUAUUAAUUGGAAAGAGAUACCAAUCCGCUUAGCCAGCCAGCGAUGGUCGGGGUGGGAUGGAAAAAGCGCGAAGGAAACACAGCAAGCAGCUCGAGGGCUCGAAUUUCUUCGCGAAGCAGCGUGGACAGCAGAAACACACAAAACUAUUUUCAACGUUUCCCCCCGCGGCUUGGGGGAGCAAACUCACGAUCAAAUCGAUGUCCAACCGGUCGGUCGGAAUGGAGCGGAGUGGGGUAGCAAAGAAAUUUAAAACCUUCUCUCUUCCCGAUUUCAUUCCUGGGCCAGCCGGGCCUGGACAGCGGCCGGCCAGCAGAUCGGGAUUUUUAUUGAGCCGCGAGAAUUCAAUCGAAGUAUCCCGCAUGCGCUGGACACACCGGAAUGGAAAUAGAUUUGGAACGGCAACGGAACGGAGAAUCCGAAACCGAUUAACAUCAUUUAAACAUUGCUAAGAUAAGUGGUCGGGAUGGUGGCAUUUUUCGUUCGUUUUUUUUUUUGCUUGUUUCUCUUUAACGCGAACCUAAGCGGCCAACUGUUCCGCGAAUGCGUACAUGUCCACUGUUGCAGAAUUUACCCCUUUGGGAAUGUGUGUCCGGAUAGUCUUUGGAGAAGAAUUCAAACCAGCAAUGGGGGCUGCGCGGCCGAAAUAAGACACCGAACCAAGGCAAAAAGCUCCCGCCGUCUGGAAGCGAACGUAAAGGAAUGCGUACGUCCGUUUAAUUCCGUCUGAGGCGAGUUCCAGUGAACUAAAAAGCACAAUAACAAUUUGGUGCGACUGCGCCAUUUUAUUUGCAGCAUCAAUGCGAGCAGAUCGGCAAAAAUAACGCUCAAAGACAAGGUAAAUCGAUACUUUUAACAUUAGAAACCCCGAAUGCUGCAAACACACGAGUUAGCUGACUCACAAGGGCUCUCGAAAAUUCGAACACUAUCGCUAACGUGCGGCCCGACUUGUGCGCGAUGGCAAGCGACGAACCUUCACCGACACGAGCACGACAACAACAACAACAACAAACCCCAAACAAAGCUCAUCACGCUCCCAAAGGUCAUUCUCGUGAUGGUGGCAAGCUCGUCCUCAUUGGUGCCGGCUCUUCAUACUUUUGCUGCCCGUCGCACUCGCACUUCACCUUCAUGCCCACUUCGCGUGCCGCGUCAUAUUGCUCUGCCUAUCGUGAUUUAUCGAUCAUUGAACGGAGUGGGCAAAAGGGGAAUUGGAAACGGGGUUCUAUUGAGCCAUUCGUUUCCAGGCGCAAGUACGAAGCUUCUUGCAGCGAUGGAACAAAGCAAAAACUUUAUUUUCCACCCUUUUGCUUCCUUCUCCACACAGACACACGAGGGUUCUUCUCGCGUGCGCUCCAAAUUGCUUUCCAAAUGAACAAGUAAAUAACGAUCAUCUCUCUCGGUGCCUAGUUUUUACGGCGGUGUUUCACCCGGUUUUUCCACGAUCCUUGGCUGGUGGCUCACGUUUGCGAACACAACCGUCGUUACCGGUCGUUACGAGACGAGCAAAUAAAAAGCGCGUCACGUUCCUAGCGCGAGUGCUGCUAGGGUCGACGGAUCUAGGCCCUCGGACCUGGACCUACGGCUCCAAUCCUGGCGCCGUCGACACAGACGAACGAAAGAGUGAUAAUAAAAGUGUAUCAGUGCUCGAUAACUGCCAGGCGUGGAUGUAAAAAACUCCACCACAACUCCCACUGCCCUCUGAUGUGUCCACCGCACCUGGACGGCAGAUCGUGUAAUUGCGCCUAGUGCUGUCAUAGGCGGCGGGAGAAAUAUUGUACAGCUGCCUUGCGGUUGUGUGCAACGGGACAUGCCCGACCGACGGCAUAAACUCGUUCCUGGCGCCUGGAUCCGCACAAUUAAACGCUGAAUUGAUUAAAACUUUUUUUUAUCUCCAGCUCACCCCACCACGGCAGAAAGAGGGAGACAGACCCCGGGCAGAGCUUACCAUCUCUCUCUCUGACGUUCAAAACCGCCCGGCGAAAGGGCUACGAAUUUGCAAAUGUUUGCGACCUCGCGCUGUACCGAAAUGCGAUAAGUGUACAAACAACGGAAUACCGAGAAGGUAUGCCGAGCAGAAACGGGUCAAUUAAAACACAAAAUGAAUCAACCGGUAAUUAGCAUGAAAAGCGUCCAGAGGCGAAAGGCUCCAAAGUGUCACCUAAAACAAACCACCACCAUUUUUCGGAACCUUAUCCCGUGGAGGUACUGGCGGCUGCUGGUUGCCCGGGAACGGAUUAAAUAUCGUGACAUCGCCCGGCCAGUCCGGCAAAUGUGCCGUAAAUCUUAAAGCCUUCCCUAUGCUCGCUCGCUCACUCCUCCGCUAACCCCUUUGGGCAGGCGAUCGUUGAGAUCACGCGAAGGUAAACCAGAAGAGAACCCAACCAAUGGCAUGUUUGUACUUCAACCAUUAAAGAAGCGAAGAGGAAUCGGACGAAGCACAAAAAAGAGACCUUUCCCAACUGCUGCAAGGGCCAUCGUACAUCGCGAUCAAUGCCUCCGCUCGGGUUGGAUUUCGAGUCCACCUUCGUCCUGUUUUUUUCUCUCUCUCUCUCCCCGUACGGACGUUUUGGGGUGUUUGGUGGGCUAUCUGUGCGCUGUUAUCUGGCGGAGUUGAAUCUCCACGAAAAAAGCAGGCUCGAGGGAUCGUGCGAGCACGAAGUUUUAUCGUGAUCCCGCCCGGAACAUAUCUCCUAGGUGCUUUGCGGUGGUGCUGGUGAUGCAAGAUGAAGUGCAUUCUCCUGAGGUAGAAAUUUGACCCGACUGUAGGAGAUUUAUAGUACUACUCUAAUUUACGACCUCGGACACUCUCGGAAGGGGGUGCGCGCCGGUGCGAAAGGGACACAGGAAUGCGGUUGAAUCCAAAUUGGAAGGGUCUCGGCCGCACAGUCUGUGGAGAUGUUGGUGAUGGGUACAUUUUGAUUCUUCUACUUGCUCUGCUAUCCUCGUCGUCUGAUGGUUGAGAUCUUGCAAAGUCCGGCCAUAUCCGAAACCCCCGGACAGUUCCGUUUGAUAGAGUUACGGGUGCAUCACGUCGUUCAGCUUUGAUUGGACUUACCUAUGGAGGGUGAGAGAGAAAGAAAGUGGAGAAAGAAAAAUAUUUUGAUUAGUCGCUGUUCGAGUUUCAAAGGUUCUGAUUAUUAAAGAUCGUAAACGUUGAUGAUCUGAUAAGGAAAGCUAUCGAGCAGGGCGUGAUGAAAACAAACUGGUUAUUCGAUACUGGGCAGGCCCUGUAUGGGAUGCAAAGGGGAGGCCACCAGGCUGUGUGGCCAUAAACCAAACAAAUUGUGAUUGUUGUUUUUUGUUUAUUGUUGUAUCUGGAGCAUUAGUUACGUUUCGUUCCAGAUGUAGUCGGCUGAUACGGCAUUCGUUGUUAGUGCGCAGAGCACGAUCAGACCGACACAGUACGACAGCGCGACUUCAUAAACGCUCACAUUUCGACACAGCCACUUCCAGGUGAAGUUCAUCCAAACUCUCGCCCAAAGCCUGUGGAGCUUCUUACAUUCCGAGUCAUUGCACCCGAGCGCAACUCUUAGCAUGGACCGCAACCCAUUCCAGCAUCAGCAUCACUCCCCGAAAAAACUACAGCCUAUCAAACCCUCUUCAAACGGCAUUCAUCUUGCCAACCACAAAAAUUCAAAUUAAAUCAUUUUUCUCCCGUACCCACUUUCUUCCUCGGGUUUCUCCCACUUCAGGCUAGUUAAUCAAGUCGAAAGUCGUCUUACACCCUUCACGCGAGCAGAAGACGACUCCCAUCACUCCGGGCCUCGCUCGCUCGAACGCCGGAACCUCGAAAACCGCACCUCGCCAGGGACCUGCUGUGCAUAUAUACUUCCAUGUGCGCGUUUGAGAGCCCUCCAGCGAACAACCAGUCGAUUAAUCGAACGAGGAUGAGUGUUCUAUUCUCGCCCGCUCCAGCGCAUGCGCGUCCCCUUCCCCUUUCCCUCGAUCCCAGCCGUCAAUCUUCGACGGACUCUUCACUCAUCUCUUCAUUCCGUUCGCAUCCGCAAUGUUCCGCGGUUCGCAGCUAAACGCUCUCGAAAGGAAUAACUAUAAUGUUGAAAAUAUUAAAAUCAUUUCUGAUGAUCAUUUUUAUCCGAUUUCUGCAUCAUCAUCGUGCCCGUUCUACGCGGGUUCUACGCGGGGGCUUUGUGGUGGAGAUGCUGUAGCUCUUCAUCAUCGCCAUGAUUGCGCGCCUUGGAUCAUCUCGGAUCAUGGGCCCGACGUCAAAUGCCACACCGUGCGCCGUCGAUCAAGCCCCAGCAGACAAAAGUAGACUCACACACACGCACGCACAGACUCGAACAUACCCGGCAGUUGCCAUAGUUAUGAGGCAGUGCUUUAAGAAACCAACACACUGAUGGCCCAGAGGUACCUGAGGGAAGCCCAUCAUCAAACAGGUAGAAGCACGGAGGAUCUCGGUAAGAUCUCUUCAGCUGAUCAUUUCUUUUUUGUCUGAAGAAGGUGUAUCGACACACUCUAGCUAUGUGUUGGUGUUGGUCGAUCUAGCCGUUUUCCACUUUUUCCUGCCCAUUCUUCUUCCUGCAAGCCACCGGUAGGGUCAAUCAUGGAAUUGUGGUGGAAUGCGGUGGCGGUGGUGGCGUUGCGUCGAACCGUUGCCCACGAUGUUGGGUCGGUCCUCUUUUGCCAGCGUCACUUUUACUAAGCGUUUAGAGCUGUGGCAGGGCAUAAAAGUGCCUUGGUACCUUUUAUCGGGUUUCUCUCUGCAUCUGUCCUUCGCACUGGCCUGGCACGUCCACCCUUCCGUCCCGCCUUUAUCCGUUCCCUCUUGUCUAGCCGGUGCUGUCUCCCCGGAGGUGGUUUUCAGAUUCCCGGGAACGGCCUAGGUCAUUUCUUUCUUUUCUGCUAUUUUCCAAGAAGUGAGAUUCUUGAUCAUUGCCUCACUUCAUCUUAUUGCUUGACCCAAGAACGCUGGCCGCUGGAGAGGUCCUAGAGACGAGAUUCCUUGUUCUUUGCGUUCGCUGCCUGGUCUUGAGAGUUGCUGAGAGUUCCAGUGGUUUGUGGCGGAGGGGUUGGGAGGAUCAAAUCCCGGGGUUUGUCUGUUUCCCGAAAACUGAUUCUUGUGAUCCGAUUGCUGAUGCUGUGCCGGACCUGUCUCAUUUGAAAGUCAUUUCUUAGCGAGCCCACGUCACCCGACACGUCCUGUAGGUCAACCCUGUUCGUUACCGAGCGGAGCAUCACGAAUCGAUCGCUCGUAUCCAACUGUGAAGGACGCGUUCGAUCACGGUCAGCCGUGUCUUCUUCGUCGCCCGAUAGGCCCCUACCCUAGCCUAGUGUGAAUAUGCUUCGACUGUGUUUAAUUACUGACGCCAAGCGAGAUCUAGCACUGGGCUGUGAAAUCUUUACCGUUCGCCUGGCAACAGGCGAACGUGGCAAACCGCGAUCGGCCACGACUGUCAAAAGCUUCUAGGAACGCUACACGCAGCCUCCGGGGAAGAUUAAGAACGGUGCACGAAACGAGAGGGCUGGGGAGGCUGUAGACAGCACUUGCACUUAGCAUAUCCAGUAAGGCCCCCUACCGCCCGGAACGAAACAGACACAGCGCACGGGGCAAACACAUUCACCAGCGAAAACAGACCUGGCUUCACAUCCACACUGCCACCGUCAACGAGCCUUUCAAAACCGGUUCCACGGGCAUUCUAAUCGUUUCGCCCGUUUCGCUGUUACCCGUGUGCGUGUUCGAGAUGGCGAGUACUAGCGAGCGCGCGCCCAAUGCCACUAGGCGUAGCGAACACCACGGCGCACCACACGGCCAGACGUGCGAGCAGGAAACAACUUUCCUUAGCGCACACCCGGUUGCAACGGUCGGUCAGUGUGCACUAUGUGCAGGCUAGGCUUUUCGCUAGUUCCAUUUAAAGGCAACCGAGAGCGCCACUCGUCGUCGGACGUUGUCAUCCGUGUCCCGGGUGCAUGUCGGAUGCGAGAUGACAGCGGAACUUUAAUUAGAGACGUGCCGUACGGAUUGCCACCGGUCACCACUAUCACCACUGCUGGAACUGGUGGUUGUAGAGCAAGUGAUGAUUGAAGUCCCACCGGUGGUGCAGCCGAUUCUCCGGUGUACCAUUAAUAGAACGGUGCAAAUAUAGGAACUAACAGAUUGUACCGAUAAAGGUGCGGAGCGCUCUUUCAUUAGACACACUCACGCGCUGCGGUGAGAUGUAAUCUUUGGAACGGGUUGCGAGAUGAAAUUUAUAGUUUGAUGUAGUGCUGAUGAACAUCAAUACUUGCUUUUGCUUCAAGUGUACACUUAAACGAUCAAGGAUAGCAACUCACAAGGUCGAGCAAUAUGCUAAUACACGCUAAGAGAUUUUUCCACCAGAAAUCACAUGAUGCAACGCAGAUCGAUUCUAAGUUGUGGAUGUGUUUGUGUGUGUGUGUGUGUGUGUGCUCGGUAUGAACCAACACACGUUAACAGGCUCGGAACCACUUGCAAGACGCAACGGGUUCUCGAGAAUCGGUGGCGUUAACUUCAAAUUGCAAUGCCACGGAGUGCAACCUCUCGUGCCCGUGGGGUCAUCACCUUGCCCGGGUGUUCGUGAUGUGCGCGCUUUUUGUUCAUGCUGCAUUCGCGCUCAUUUCCACGAACUCUAACCGCGGUGCAGUACGGUAAAUGCAUGCUUUAGAGUCGCACAACUCUCUACCGAUGCACUCGAGAAGCUCUUAACGGAACGCUGGAAUAAUUCUUCCACCAUGUACCGAUACUUGCUUCGUUGCGGUUUAACACCACAUCACCGUG